AAGAAAGCAAGUUAUUAUUAACUAUACAGCAGGAAGAUUUUGUAAACAUUUCCAAAUCGAUUCAAUUGUUACAUCAUUGGUAAGUUUUUUUUUAGAAAUUACAUACACUUUUCAAUUUGAAGGAACAAGGGUCCAAAACACAACAUAAUCCAGUGACUCUUCUAAUACCCAUAUACAACCUACAUAGUGUAUACAGAGCCUCUAAAAAUACAAAAGAGAGUCAUAAUAAUGCUAGCAACAAGGCCCCGACUAUACCUCGAAACGUGGCAAACAUAUAAACAAAAGAUGUACUAGAUGACUCCAGGAAGAAAUGGGGCUCACCGAGUCUGCUGGAAAAAUGAUGAUGGUUCACCACUAGCUGCCAUUAACACUGUCUGCUAUGGAACCACCUACAUCCAUUUAAACAUGUAGCGCCCCAGCAAAAGGGAUGUUAGUAUUGUUGAAUAGUACUAGUAUGUAAAACUAAACACUAAACUUAAUAGAACGAACAAUGAAAUAAAGGAGAAGCAGUCAUGAUAUACAACAAGAGCUUCAAACACAUACGAAAACAUCAAGUAAUGAUCACACAAUUUCCAGUUAAGUUUCCAUCUUAUUUAGGUUUUAUAAUCUCAGUGCCAUGUGCCACAAUCCACACUACCACCGUGUUUCUACAUGAAGUCUGAUCUCGACCCGACCGGUUAGGUCAUCUCAUUUGAGACAUCAACCAUUUUCACAAUUAUAGUCAAUCAAUCCAGCACAAUUACCACCAUGUGUGUGGGAUGGUGUUCGAUCAUGGCCCGAUCGGCUAGGCCAUCUCACUUGAUACAUCAACCAUUCAAUCGUUCAUCUCAAUUCAGAUUUUCUUCCCAUCUUUCAUUACAUGGCACGAGUAGCCUCAUUUAUUAAAUUGUUCUUGGCACUUGGUCGUAUCUUAAAAUUUAAUUUUCCCUUUUUAUACAUUCAAAUAAUAUUAUCAUCCACAUCAAUAAGGCCUAUCAUGUAGGGCAUCGCAUACACAUGGGGAAGGCAUAAAAAAUCUUAAUCAUACGGAGGCUUUUCAUACAAAUAGCAUAGCAAGCUUUAUUCGAUUCUUGACAUGAAUUCUUGACCUUUCUGAACACAUAUAUUCCACAUUUAAACACAUUCUCAAAUGGAAUGACGACAUGAUAAAUAUUUAGAAUAAUCAUUGAACAUAAAUCUUUCAACAUAAUAUGUUAGGGAACGGUUCUAGUAUGAUCAAUUUAGCGACAUACACCAAUUACACGUACACCAGAGGUUCGAUUCUAAGAAGAAGGGGGUUUAGCCAUACAUACAUGGAAUUCGCCCCUUAAUGAUACUAUGAUGAUCCACUACACUAAGCAACUUCAGUUUACAAUAUUAACAUCCAAUGGGACCAUCAUUAGUAACAAAUUCCAUAGUUUAAGCCAUUUAGACACUUUAUCAAACACAUAGUAGGCAUAAGUCUCUAUAUCUCAUAGCCAUAGAAUUGAUUCAUCCAACUAACACUAUUUACCAACAAUUUAACCUACCAUCAUUCUUGAACAUUUUAUAACUUCCAACAUCACAUGCAUGACCAUCCAUCCAUCCCCAAUCAACAAAAUUUAAUCAAAUAAUUUCCUUUCAAUCUCUACAAUGGUUAUGUAUUUAAAUUGAAAAAUUAUGGCUUCCAAUCACCAUCCCAUGAGUACCAAUACUUAAUUCUUACUCAUAUUCUAAUAAUAAAUUCAUGCAUGUAAGUCUAAGGGUGUAGGAUUACCUUUUGAAAAAUAUCUUGCAAAUUCCUCCCUUUGAGUUCUUGAAGAAAUUUCUUGAAAAUCUAAAGAUUCCAUGUGUAGAUUUCAUCAACGCUAGUGUAGAAAUGAUGGAAUUUCACACCAAGAUAAUGGGAUUUCUUACCUUAAAGAAGAGAGGAGUUUGUGGUCUUGAGAGAGUGGAGAAGAGCUCCAAAAUUCGUUCAAGUGAAAUGGGGGAAAUGAACCCCGAAGGCGAGUACUAAAAAAGGCUUCAGGUGGGGGUACCAUGCCUGUUCCAGCGCAAUUUGCUAAUAAUUCAUUGGUUUUCAAAGUUGCUGAGAGGGAUGGCGUGCCACAAUCCGCGCGUUGCACUUAACCUGGCACGCUCCCAGUUAUUUUCCUUUUUCCCAUUGCUUUCUUCUACACUCACCCUAAUUGAUACCUUGAUAUGAUAUAGACCCGAAUUGACUUCCAAACCUUCAUAUAAGUAUGAAACCAUGUUUACAUAAUAAAAUCCUUUCCAUUUAAUGUAUCUAUUUGUUACACACAAAUGCUUCCCAUUCACAAGACUCCUUAAUAUGAUCCAACGCACCUUAAACAUAUAUUUUAAUUUCAAAAUGAUGUGGUUCUAUCCCAUAGGUCUCCUUUAAUACUUGAAUACGUUAUUCCCAAAUACCAAUGGCGCAUUUUAAAAUCUAAAAUCACUAGGAAAUUUUAACGGGGCCUUACAACUUCUCCUCUAUAUUCUCCAAAUUCACUUCGAACAGAGUUAGUACCUAACCCUCUUGGUGCAUACUUCCUAAACUUUUCUUUUGGAACUCCUCCAAAGUUCCAACUGGAACUUGUUGACACUGGAAAUCAUAUUAAUUUGAUACAAUGCCAACCUUUUCUAGAUUGUUACAAGCAAUAUAUCCCCAUCUUCGAUCUCGUAAACUCUUCAACCUUUAAGCCAAUAUCUUGUAAUUCAGAUAAAUGCUUUGAGAAUAGCUGCCAAGGAAUUGUAUUAGGAGACUUUCGUCGCUAGUGGUUUUUCAUUUGGUGAUGUAGCCAGUGAAACUUUCACUUUCUAUUAUAAAAAUGGAGAAGGAAUUUCGUUCCCAAGUAUUUUUUUUUUUUUUGGAUAUGGUCACAGAUCCAAAUCUAUACCAGUGAAACCUAUGAUGUCUGCCAUAAUAGGGCUCGACGCUUCUCAUGCAUCUUUAGUGGCGCAACUUAGUCCAACAUUUGGACAAAAAAUUUCCUACUGUUUUGUGCCAAGGGCACAAUUAGAUAUCCCUAGCAAACUUACCUUUGGUGACAAUGCUUGGGGAUCGGGGAGUGUUUUCACUCCACUUGUUGUUAAACCUACCUUUGUGUACUAUUUCUUGACCCUCUUAGGCAUACGGGUUGUUGAACAACAACUGGAUCUUGUUGCUAAUCCCUCUACUGUUUUCCAAGAGGGUAAUAUUGUGAUUGACUCAGAAACUACUUAUACUUUCCUUCCUUCACCAUUCUAUAACCAACUUGAAACAUUAGUGAGAGAAGUCAUUGAAAAAUAACUGUGGGUUGACAACUCAUCAUCUGAGUUGAGUCUAUGCCAAAAAGAUCUAAAAGGCAUUGAUAUUCCUCCAAUGAAGCUUUAUUUUUAUUGAAGAUUAUGUGCUAUUAUCAAUGGAGAAUAUAAUGCCAUUCUUGUUGGAUACGAUUUAGAUUGUCUUGAUUAUAAACAAAGAUUGUUAUGACUAAAAAAGAUGCACAUUUCCUGCACUUACGUUGAGAUAGAUGUGCGGGCAUACCAAGAUCGAUAAGAUUAGAAUAAAGACAUUCAGCCCAGGGUAGGUGUAGUCUCGGUGGAGGACAAGAUAUGAGAAUCUAUACUUAGAUGGUAUGGUCAUAUAAAGAAAAGAAACACAAAUAUUCCUACAAAUAGGUGUGAGAGGUUGACCCUUGGUGGGUCUGAGAAGGGGUAAAGGUAGGCGAAAGAAGUAUUGGAGAGAGGUGAUUAGGUAGGAUAUGGUGUUGCUUCAGCUUACUGAGGACAUGACCCUUAACAGGAAGGUGUGGUGGUUGAGAAUUAAGGUAAAAGACUAGUAAAUAGUUGAGAGUAUUUGUUUCCAAUACUAAUAGUAGUGGUUUAUUCUUGUAUUCUGCUAUUGUUAUAUUUCUAUUACUACAUGUUGUUUCUUUCGCGUCCUUUUCUUAUUAUCUUAUUGGUAUUAGAGAUAUCAUAAUAUCAUCCAUAAUUGAGGUGUUUGUAGCCAUCAAUAACAAUUACUAUAAUGGUAAAAUGGAAAAAAAUAACUAAUUUUGUCUUGAAAUUCUAAAAUAAUAAAAUAAUUUAAGACAACUAUUAAGCUUAUCCACCGUUUUCAAUAUUACUUCUCCGCUAUCUUUUCCAAAUUCACUUCGGACUGAGUUAGUACCAGACCCUCUAGGUGCAUACUUUAUAAACUUUUAUGUCGGAACUCCUCCAAAGUUCCAACUGGCACUUGUUGACAUUAGCAGCCAUAUUAAGUGGAUACAAUGCCAACCUUUUCUAGAUUGUUGCAAGCAAUAUAUCCCCAUCUUUGAUCUCGUAAACUCUUCAACCUUUAUGCCGCUAUCCUGUAAUUCAGAUAAAUGCUUUUAGAAUAGCUGCCAACGAACUAUAUUUUGAGACUUACGUUGCUAGUAGUUAUUCAUUUGUUGAUGGAGCCACGGAAACUAUCACUUUCUAUUAUGAAAAUAGAGAAGAAAUUUCUUUCCCAAGUAUUGUUUUUGGAUGUGGUCAUAGAUCCAAAUCUAUACCAGUGAACCCAAUGAUGUCUGCCGUAAUAGGGCUCGGCGCUUCUCAUGCGUCUUUAGUGUCGCAACUUAGUCCAACAUUUGGACAAAAAAUUUCCUACUAUUUUGUGCCAAGGGCACAAUUAGAUAUCCCUAGCAAACUUACCUUUGAUGACAAUGCUUGGGGACUGGGAAGUGUUUUCACUCCACUUGUUGUUAAACCUAACUUUGUGUACUAUUUCUUGACACUCUUAGGCAUACCGGUUGGUGAACAAAAACUGGAUCUUGUUGUUAAUCCCUCUACUGUUUUCCAAGAGGGUAAUAUUGUGAUUGACUCUGAAACUACUUAUUCUUUCCUUCCUUCACUGUUAUAUAACCAACUUGAAACAUUAGCGAGAGAAGCCGUUGAAAAAUAACUGUAGGUUGACAACUCAUCAUCUGAUUUGAGUCUUUGCCACAAAGAUCUGAAAGGCAUUGAUAUUCCUCCAAUGAAGCUUUAUUUUUAUUGAAGAUGAUGUGCUAUUAUUAAUGGAGAAUAUAGUGCCAUUCUCGUCAGAUACGAUUUAGAUUGUGUUGAUUAUAAACAAAUAUUGUUAUAACUAACAAAGAUGCAUAUUUCCUGCACUUAUAUUGAGAUAGAUGUGUGGGCAUACCAGGAUCGAUAAGAUUAGGAAUAAGAUAUUCAGCCCAGGGUGGGGGUAGUCUCCGUAGAGAACAAGAUAUGAGAAGCGAGGCUUAGAUGGUAUGGCAUAUGAAGAGAAGAAGCACAAAUUUUCCUACGAAGAGGUGUGAGAGGUUGACCCUUGGUGGGUCUGAGAAGGGAUAAAGGUAGGCGAAGGAAGUAUUGGGGAGAGGUUAUUAGGUAGGAUAUGGUGUUGCUUCAGCUUACCGAGUAGUAGUGGUGAUUAGUAGAGAGUAUUUGUUUCCAAUACCAGUAGUAGUGGUUUAGUCUUGUAUUCUGUUAUUGUUAUAUUUCUAUUACUACAUAUUGUUUCUUUCGCUUUAUUUUCUUAUUAUCUUAUUGGUAUUUGAGCAAACAUAAUAUCACCCAUAAUUGAGGUGUUUGUAGUCAUCAACAAUAAUUACUACAAGGGUAAAAUGGAAAAAAAAUACCUAAUUCUGUCUUGAAAUUGUAAAAUAACAAAUAUUUUGAGACAACUAUUCAACUUAUCCACCGUUUUCAAUAUUACUUCUCCUCUAUCUUCUCUAAAUUCACUUCGGAAUGAGUUAGUACCUGACCCUCUAGGUGCAUACUUUAUAAACCUUUUUAAUGGAACUCCUCCAAAGUUCCAACUGGCACUUGUUGACACUGGCAGUCAUAUUAAUUUGAUACAAUGCCAACCUUUUCUAGAUUGUUACAAGCAAGAUAUCCCCAUCUUUAAUCCCAUAAACUCUUCAACUUUUUAGCCGCUGUCUUGUAAUUCAGAUAAAUGCUUUCAGAAUGCCAAGGAAUUGUAUUAUGCGGCUUACUUUGCUAGUAGUUAUUCAUUUGGUAAUGUAGCCCCGGAAAUUCUUUCACUUUCUAUUAUGAAAAUGGAUAAAAAAAUUCUUUCCCAAGUAUUGUUUUUUGAUGUGAUCACAGAUCCAAUCUAUACCAGUGAAACCUAUGAUGUCUGCCGUAAUAGGGCUCGACGCUUCUCAUGCUUCUUUAGUGUCGCAACUUAGUCCAACACUUGGACAGAAACAUUCCUACUGUUUGGUGCCAAGGGAACAAUUAGAUAUCCCUAGCAAACAUACCUUUGGUGACAAUGCUUGGGGAUCGGGGAGUGUUUUCACUCCACUUGUUAUUAAACCUACCUUUGUGUAAUGAUCCGACCGAUCAUUUUGAGCUUUUGCACUUUGCUCGCCAGUUCUUGGGUAUGACUUGCCCCGUGUGAUGUAUUAUAACUUAUGUAAAUUGUUGGUUUUGAUUUUCAGGGUAAUCAGAAUGAAUUUGGAAGAAACAGUUCUCAGUUGAAGCUUAAAAUUUGAAAAGUUUGACCAAGAUUUGACUUGUUCGUAUAUGAUCUUGGAUCAGAAUUUUUAUGAUUUUAUUAGCUCCGUUAGGUGAUUUGGGACUUAGGAGCGUAAUCGGAAUACUUUUUAGAAGUCCGUGGAAGGUUUAGGCUUGAAUUGGCAAAAUUGAGAUUUCGGCGUUUUCUGAUUGACAGGUGAGGUUUUGAUGUAGAGGUCAGAAUGAAAUUCUGGAAGUUGCAGCAGUUCCGUUGUGUCAUUUGGGAUGUGUGUGCAAAAUUUUAGAUCAUUCGGACGAGGUUUGAUAGACUUUUUUAUCGAAUUCAGAAUUCAGAAGUUUUGAAAUUCUUAGGCUUGAAUCCGAGGGUGAUUCGAUGUUUUGAUGUUGUUUUGAGCGUUCUGAAGCGUGGAACAAGUUUGAAUGAUGUUUUAAGAUUUGUUGGCAUGUUUGGUUGAGGUUCUGAGGGCCUCGGGUGAGUUUCGGGGUGGUUCCGGACCAUUUCUAAGCUAUUUUUAGCUGCUGGUUUUUGGCUACAACAGUGUUCUACGCGAUCGUGGGGAACUGGAAAAGUGAUCGCGAUGAGUAAAAUGCGAAAAAAAUGUCAGUGCUUCGCGAUUGGGAUGAACCUUCGCGAUCGCAUAGAGUAAAUAUUCUGCUGCACUAAUCCAAAUUUGGAGGCUUAUAUCUCACAAUCUAUAAGGAAUUUGGAGAUGAUCCAAAAAUAAAAGUUGUAGCCCUUUGUGUUUAGGUUUCAGAAAUGUAAAUUAAUUAGAAUUUUAAGUGGUGUACAAAAUGUUAUGGUGGUUACACUAUAGGCUGUCCGGGAAGGGUUUAGGAAUCUUUAAUGCACAAGGCUGAAUUUGGAAGCUUAUAUCUCGCAAUAUAUAAAGAGUCAGGAAAUGAAAAAUAUAUGAAAUUAUAGCACAUGGUGUCUAGUUUUCAGAACAUCAAACCAUUUGUCAUUUGGAGUUGUGUGCAAAAGGUUAUGACCAUUAUACUAGAGGUUGUCCGAAAGAGCUGGGAACUUGUUCUUCGCGAUCGCGAAGGGCAAAUUUUGGGCUGAGAAAAGUUGUGCUUCGCGAUUGCAAAGCAUUUUCCACGAUCGUGAAGAGUAUAUACUUGGGCAGAAUGUUUUAAAGACCUAUUUCGCGACUUUGAGCCCUUUUUCACCAUUUUUGUACGGGAAAAGAGCUUGGAUGCGAUUUUGAAGAGAGGAAAUCAUUGUUCUUCAUUGAGGUAAGGAUUUUGGACCCUAAAACUUGAUUAAUUGUGAUUAAGGUACAAAAAUAUCAGUGUAAAUUCAUGAAAAUCAGUAGAAAAAGGUGGAGUUAGGGCUUGAGAUUAUGAGACCUUCUAGGGAUGAUUUGAGGGGUCAAACGAACUCCGAUUUUCGAGUUCUUUAUAUGUACGAACUCGUGAGAUGAUGAAGAACAUUUUGGUAUAAAGUUUGUCCAGUUACAGGAUGCGGGACAAGGGGUCAGGUUUUGACCGAUUUCGGAUUUUGUGCUUAAAAUCGAUAUUUUUCAAUUGGAAUUCAUUCGUUUAGCAUAAUUUGAUGAUAAAAAUCUGAACUUGGUAGAUUUAGAGCACUCGGAACUUGGUUCGAGAGGCAAGCGUGUUGCAGAAUAGCUUUUCGGGCUAGUUUGAGGUGAGUAAUGAUUGUAAAUGAUGUUCUGAGGGUUUGAAACCUCGGAUUGCACAUCGUGGUGCUAUAUUGAGGUGAGGCACACACUGGAUGACGAGCGUGGGGUUGUACACUAUUGGGGAUUGUGAAUUGGUCUAUCCCGAUUUGAUAAUUUUACCGCGUAUUUGAUUAAAAACUAUUUGCUAACAUCAUUAUUUGGGCUGAAUGUCAUAUUUGGGCCUAGUGCCAACUAUUUAAACCUGUCGGAGAUUUUUGUUGAUAUUUCCUCACUAUUUUGACUUUAUACUUGAACUCAGUCAUGUUAUUUUCCACUCUUUUCAAAACUCAGCCAUGUUUAUUUUGCUUUAACACUUGAAAUGAUAUCUCAAAUAAUAUUUUGGGCUGAGCAUCAUGUUUUACUGUUGCCCGAGUGGCUUAUGUGAUUUUUGAUUGAGUAAGGCCGAGGGCCUAUAUUGUGAGGAUACUUUUGGGUCGGGCUGCACGCCACAUCAGUGAGAUACUGAUUUGAUUAUGAGGCCGAGGGCCUGAGAUAUGUACGCCAUGAGGUGGCUUGUUGAUAUUGAUAUGAGGCCGAGGGCCUGUUUAUGAUGCCACGAGGUGGCUUGAUAUUGCGCUUGGGCGGUAAGGGGCCCCUCCCGGAGUCUGUACACCCCAGAGAGUGCGGGUACCCAUUGUGAUGUGAGAUAUAGCCCGAGGGGCUGAUAUUGUAUAAUGUGAUAGUCUGAGGAGCUGGUAUUGUUCUAUGUGAUUGCCCGAGGGGCUGGUACCGUUCGAUGUGAUUGCCCAAGGGGCUGGUAUUGUUCUGAGAUAUUGCCUGAGGGGCGGAGUUAUUGAUAUUGUGCCCGAGGGGCAAACCUUAUGUGAUUAUCUUUCAUAUUUACUUGUCAUUUUACCUGUUAAACUAUGGUAUUUGUGCUCGAGGGGCGGAUUUCGGUGCUUAUCUAUACUAAUUGUUUUGCAUUCAUUUGUGUAACUGUUGAAAAAGUCAUUUUCAAAGAAGUUUAAACUGAGCUAAGAUAUUUUAAGAGAUUUUUACAGCUUCACUGUUUUCUUACUGGUUUUUGAACUGCUUCUAUAUAGCAUCUUGAUAUGCUUUACGUGAUUUCUUACCUUUCAGACUUUAGUGAUUAUUACUCAUUGAGUUAGAGUACUCACUUUACUCCCUACACCUUGUGUGCAGAUUCAGGUAUUUCUAAAACCGGUAGCGGGUAUUGGCUGACUGGAGGUAGAGUCAUCGGAGUUUAGCAAGGUAGCUGCUGGCAUUCGCAACACUUCUUUUCUCCCUUUUCUUUUCAUUAGUCUGUAUUUUGUACCUUUCAGACUUUUUAGUUGUAUUUAUACCCUAGUAGAUGCUCGUGACUUGUGACACCCCGGUAUCGGGCUGUGUUUGGGUUGCAUUUCGCACUUUAUAUUAUCUUUUGUUUAGUUUUUGGCUUAUUUACUCAUACUCAGACUAUUUGUUAAUGUUAAACUAUUUAAAACGGAAUUGGGUCUAGCUGGCUGGCCUUGUCUUCCCGAGAGGUGUCAUCACGACCGGGUCCAGGUUUAGGGUCAUGACAAGUUGGUAUCAGAGCCUAGGUUACAUAGGUCUCACGAGUCAUGAGCAGGUUUAGUAGAGUCUCGCGGAUCGGUACGGAGAUGUCUGUAUUUAUCCUCGAGAGUCUACAAAACAUUUAGGAAAAACUUCACAUUCUUGAAUUCUUAUCGUACGUCCUUGAUUCAGCUUGAAAUGUAACUCUUUGAACUCCUUCCACGCGUUCGUGUGCGCGCAUGAGCGCUCAGUAUCAUAUGUGCAUCGAUUGCUUGUGAUUCCCUGAUCGAGGGGCGAGAUGUGAUCUCUGUGAGUUGAUGUUGGGUCAGUCUGGAGGACUUGAGGCCAGAUUUUUGCCUAUAGCUUGAGCACCAAGGUGUUGAUUGUGUGAACAAGUGUUUUGAGCUUAUAUGUUCGGUAGUGUCCCUAUUAGUUGGAGUGAUGGUUGGAUAACUAUGUGAUGAGUAUGUUAGUACUGCGAGAUAUAUCCAUAUGAUUUGGAAGCGAUGAGAAGGGUCUGCUGGAGGAUAGAAGGACUAUUAGGUGCUUGAAUUCCAUCUUGAUUCGAGGUAUAGCCCCGUGUUAUGGGUGUGUGAAGAAUUUUUUCAUGUUUUCCUAGUUGUGAGUGAAGUAAAUUCCAUGUUGAGGUAUGAGUUCAGACUCAGGAAGACUAAGUGACUGUGUAUAGUUUAUGACGGUGGAAGGUAUAUAGAAAUGUUAGUUGGAGGCAAAGUAGGUGGGUUGUCUCCUACGGAGUGUUUUGAAGUUGUGUGAUCCUUAUGUUUUCUAUUAGAAGAUCUCAUUUACAAGUGAAGUAUAUGUGUUGAAAUUUAAAUUUGGGUCGCUUAAGAGAGUGGGCUUGACUGUUGCGAGGAUGAGUGCGAGAUUUGCAAAAGAGUUAAAUUCUAGAUGAUCCAUGUUUUCACAAGCUCAUAAGGGAUUUGAGUUUAAUCUCACUAUGGCACUAUGACAGCAAUAGAGUAUAUGUGUUAUGAGUUAUUGAGUAUGUUUUGAUCUAUGGCUUCGAUCUAAAUAGGGGAGUCUGUUGUUGGUUAGUUGAUUGCACAGUUAUGUGCUAUGUUAGUUCCAGUUUGAAGCAUAAUGGUAAAUCAGUUAUGGCCUACGGAGAUGGAGACCGAGGAUGGCUUUAGUAAAGGAAGGUUUUUACAAAAGUUAUAUUAUGAUUUAUAGGUGUAUGAGAAUCACGAAAUAUCUUGAGUGGUCAUUGAUAAAGGGUGUGCGGUGCAUAGAAAAGGAAGUGGCUUGGUUGCAUUAAGGUAAGGCUACAUUCUGUGGUGUCAGAGUGCUAAUGAGGCACAGGUUGUUCGAUUCGUUUGUUCAGACUAAUUGUAGUUUGAGUAGAGUGAAUAACUCGUGGGAGUGGUUCUAAUGUGUACAAGAUUCUACAUGCAACAAUGGGGUGUUUUAAAGUUGUAUAUGUGGUUAAAGACUGAGUUUUCAUUGGAAGAUGUCAAGACUUGUGGUGUUUUCUAUAUUAAUUAUGGGAUUCUAUGUAUCAGUAUCAGGAAGGUAAAGGUAAUGGAUUUAGAUUUGUAAGAAGUUCAUCAGAGUAAAGUAUUUUGAAUAUGGUGCUUUUGGGAAUAUUUAAGAGAAUACUCAGCGGCUUAUGAGCCUUGAACAGUGUGGUGUUAUGCUUGGGUCUCGUAUGGUAAGUCUGGGUUGAGGAAUUGUGAUGUUAUAGCAAGAAGGAGUAUCAAAUUGAUGGUAAAUCAGAAGGGAGCUCGGAUGGAUGGGAUAGCUUGGUAGUAGGCCAGAUCGGUAUGGUAAGGAUAUGAUUAGUUCAUUGGGUGUUUACGAGGUAAUGAGUUUCUACGGGUAUUUCGCGGCAAUGCUCUUAGAUUUUAGUGGCUUGCAUAGGUUGAUUGAGUUAGGAAGAUUCAGUCAUGACGGACUUGCUUGUGCAAAGGGGAGGCAGAGAGUUCUCGUUGAUAUCUACCGUGGCUAAAGAUGUAUAUUUUCUACUGGCAUGAGGAGCGUGGGAUGCGUAGUGAUUUUCUUCCAGAUGGGUUCAAUGGAAAGUCUUGGUUGGUUGGGUACAUAGUUGCUAGUUGGCUGGCCUCGUCUUCACGAGAGGUGCCAUCGCGAUCGGGUCCGGGUUUAGGGUGCUUUUUUAUGCUUUGUUAUCUGUGUUUUGUGGUAUCGGAUUGAGUCCGGAAGGAAUUUGGUGAAGUUUGAGACACUUAGUCUCUUUUAAGAAGGUUUAAGUUGGAAAUGUCAAUAGGAUAUUGACUUAUGUGUUAGAGGGCUCGGAUAUGAAUUCUGAUGAUUCGGUUAGCUUCGGAAGGUGAUUUAUGACUUAGGAGUGUGAUCGGAAUGGGUUUUGGAGGUCCGGAGUAGAAUCAGGCUUGAAUUGGCGAAGUUGAUAUAUUAGCGAUUUCCGGUUGAUAGGUGAGAUUUUGAUAUAGGGGUCGGAAUGGAAUUCUGAUAGUUGCAGUAGCUUCGUUGUGUCAUUUUGGAUGUGUGUGCAAAAUUUCAAGUCAUUUGGACGUGGUUUGGUCGGGUUUUUGAUCGAAAGCGUAUUUCGAACGAUUUUAGAAACUUAGGCUUGAAUCCGAUGUGUUUUGGGUAAUUUGAUGUUGUUGGAGGUAUUUUGAUGAUUAGAACAAAUUUGAAUAAGGUUUUAGGAUGUGUUGGUGCCCUUGGUUGAGGUCUCGGGUGUCACACCUCCUUUUUUACUACACCCUCGGAAGGGUAUAAAUAAAAGGAGUUUUUUCAAUUAAAGGACAAUCGAAACGGGAUUUAUUGUUAAAAGAUUCAGAGUCGCCACUUGGGAGAUUUAUGGUGUCCCAAGUCACCGGUUGAAUCCCGAAUCGAGGAAAACUUGACUCUGUAUUAUAGUCCGCGAACCAGAAAUCCGAGUAAGGAAUUCUGUUAACCCGGGAGAAGGUGUUAGGCACUCCCGAUUUCCGUGGUUCUAGCACGGUUGCUUUGAUUAUACUUGUCUUACUAAAUUUUCUAAUUACUUAUUUUCAAACCUAUGGGCAUCUACCCCCUUAACCGUUUUUAUUUUCUCAAUUACUAUUAUUUAUGGAAUUAUCUUUAAAAAAUGAGUCACGCGUACGUGUACACAUUUCAUUUGGCGCGUCAAAAAUCGUGUCACGCGUACGUAUCCACAAUUAAUCACGUCAUAUUAUUAAUAAGAUUGUUUCACCCAAAGUUGCACGAACGCAUACCUUGAUUUUAAUUUCUGGAAUCGUAACUAUGUCACGCGAAUGUGUACACAACCACGAUAAUUUAUUAAGUCGCCUUCAUUGCAAAAUAAAGAAAAUAAAGGGGUGCGGCAGCCAAGCUAAUGCCAGAAACAAUAUAACAUGCUACUAUCACUUUCAAUUUUUGUCACUUUCUUGCUCUCUUGAUCCAAUGUUCUUUUAAUUCAAUUAUUCAUUGCAAAAAUGGUCCAGCUUGGACACAAUACAUUAGCAGAAUACACGCUCAACCAAUGGCCACACAUGCAAACUCCGUGUACUCUUAAUCUUCGAGAUUGUUGUAAGGCCAAAUUUAUGAACAAAAUAUUAUUGGGGGAAAAUAAGCUAGCCAACAUGAUCUAUUACAUGGCCAAAUUCCUUGUGGUCCAAAACCCACCUUAUGACCCAUUCUUAUUCCUUGCCAAGAAAAAAUCAACUCCAAUUUUUCAUUGGCCCGAUUAAAAGCAUUUAUUUAAGAACCAAGACUACAUACAUUAUAGUGGAAAUAAAAACUAAUCAAAAUAAUUUAAAUGACAACUAAAACAUGAUACUCAAACAACAUAGAAUCACAAAUCAACCAACACGCGCACCAAGCUAUUAUAACACAAUGAAAUGAGAAUUGAAAUUGAGAAAUGGACCUUUUAUUGAUGAACAAAGCUGAAAAUUGCAAAUCAAUCAGGCUAAGCCAAGCAACAAUCCUUGGACCGAAACACUGAGAUUACGAACUGGAACCUCGAAUCGACCGCGCCCAACUGACCGGAAAACCCAAUUAAUUUAAAAAAACUCCCAACGAAAUAUUCAUAGAAAAUGGAAUAAGCUACUGCUCUUAGCCGAUGUGGUCAUUGAGACCCGAACUUGACCUUUUGGAAAGCUCUUAAAAUCAGCAGAAUUGCGAGCCACUAUAUCGUCAACUUCUCUGAACUCCUUUAACAAAGAAUCAAAUGCCUCCCUUUUGUCCUUGUGUGUAUGUGUGCCUUUUUUCUCUUUUUUUUUUUGCUUUUAAAUUCAAAGACUGUCGUUUUUUGUGCAUUUCUUUUUCCAUUUUAAUGAUGAAAGCAACAACGUUAACAAGUCCAUUGGUGUAGAUUCAAUGAGCACUACUGAAAGAUGAUGGAAUUAAACGCCUUGCCUUUUUCGCUAUACCACUAAGCAAUUUUCGGUCAUUUCAUCAGCAGGAGGGGAUCUAAAGAAGAUAGAUGGGAUCGCUGGAAAAGUUGGGGGGUCUCUUUUUGGGUUCUGCGGCUCUCCUUUUUUG
rnacentral:lncRNA from 1 species